GUGUAGAUGGAGGCUUCUGGAAGGCUGUGGUCUGGGGGUCUCUUGUGACACGUAUUCACCCAACAGCUGUUGGCUCUGGUGAGCAGCACAUCCUGCCAGGGAACUCUGAGCCAGGCCUGCAGAGCCCACCCGGGAGCAGGCGGGAGUCAGCAUGGGCUCGCAGCCUAUCCUGGAGCCUCGCCGACCUGUUUCCUCCUCAGGCCAAGGAUGACAUGCAAUUUUAACUGACACCAGGCCUGUGGUCUGAUAUCCAGAGUUGCUCAGAAAAGGAGUUGCUAGUUUUACCUGAUAUUUAUGGUCUAAAAACGACCUACCUGGAAUCCCUCUGGAAUCCCUCCUCCUGUGGCUUCAGGCAUUAUCCUAUCUCUGACCCUCUCUUCUGCUUCUCUCGGCCAUAUUGAAGACCCUUGUGAUUUCAUUGGGGCCACCUGGAUACUCCAGGCUAAUCUCCGUAUUUUAAGGUGUGGAUAUGGUCAAAAGCCAAGUUCAUCAAUAGGAAAUUCCUAAUGCAGGAACUUUACCAGCGCUUUCUAGAUGGAGAUCACGGCCCUGUG
rnacentral:lncRNA from 1 species